rnacentral:rRNA from 1 species
AGCUCCAAUAGCGUAUAUUAAAGUUGUUGCAGUUAAAAAGCUCGUAGUUGGAUUUCUGGUAGGAGCGACCGUGCCGAACUUGAUUGUUCGUGUAUUGUGUUGUCUUCAGCCAUCCUCGUGGAGAACUUUUCUAACAUUAACUUGUUGGGAUUGGGACCCGCGUCGUUUACUGUGAAAAAAUUAGAGUGUUUAAAGCAGGCAUUAGCUUGAAUACAUUAGCAUGGAAUAAUAAGAUAGGACUUUGGUACUAUUUUGUUGGUUUGCAUACCAAAUUAAUGAUCAACAGGAACAGUUUGAGGAUAUUCGUAUGAACAUGUCAGAGGUGAAAUUCUUGGAUUUUGAUCAGACGAACUACUGCGAAAGCAUUUAUCAAGGAUGUUUUCAUUAAUCAAGAACGAAA